CACUUCUAAGGAAGGCAGCAGGCGCGCAAAUUACCCAAUCCUGACUCAGGGAGGUAGUGACAAGAAAUAACAAUAAACCGGCUUAUGCCGGUUUAAUUGGAAUGAGUACAAUUUAAACAUCUUAACGAGGAACAAUUGGAGGGCAAGUCUGGUGCCAGCAGCCGCGGUAAUUCCAGCUCCAAUAGCGUAUACUAAAGUUGUUGCAGUUAAAAAGCUCGUAGUUGGAUUUCUGUGGGGACGGAGCGGCCGGCCGCAACACGCGGUUCGAGCUAGCGCUUUCCCUACAUCCUGCCGCGAACCGUGCUACCAUUGAUUUGGUGGCGCCGGGGAUUGGCUCGAUUACUUUGAGAAAAAUAGAGUGUUCAAAGCAGGCCACAUGCCUUGAAUAAGUUAGCAUGGAAUAAUAACUAAGGACUUCGGUUCUAUUUUGUUGGUGUUCGGGACUGAAGUAAUGAUUGAUAGGGACAGUUGGGGCGGUCUGUAUUCCAAAGCGAGAGGUGAAAUUCUUAGACCUUCGGAAGACAAACAGCUGCGAAAGCGUUCCGCAAGGAUGUUCCCUUUGAUCAAGAACGAAAGUUGGGGGAUCGAAGACGAUCAGAUACCGUCGUAGUCUCAACUAUAAACUAUACCAGCUAGGGAUCGGCCAACGUUAUUUCAUACCGACUUGGUCGGCACCUUAUGAGAAAUCAAAGCAUCUGGGUUCCGGGGGGAGUAUGGUCGCAAGGCUGAAACUUAAAGGAAUUGACGGAAGGGCACCACCAGCCGUGGAGCCUGUGGCUUAAUUUGACUCAACACGGGAAAACUUACCAGGUCCAGACAUAGUAAGGAUUGACAGAUUGAUAGCUCUUUCUUGAUUCUGUGGGUGGUGGUGCAUGGCCGUUCUUAGUUGGUGGAGUGAUUUGUCUGGUUAAUUCCGUUAACGAACGAGACCCCAGCCUGCUAAAUAGCGCGCGUGAGCUUUGCUCGCGGCGAGCUUCUUAGAGGGACUCUGAUGCGCGAUAGCACAUGGAAGUUUGGGGCAAUAACAGGUCUGUGAUGCCCUUAGAUGUUCUGGGCCGCACACGGGCUACACUGGCGCCUGCAACGAGCAUAUCAGCUGGCCCGAGAGGGUCUUGGCUAAUCUUUUGAACCGGCGCCGUGCUUGGGAUUGACCUUUGCAAUUGUUGGUCAUGCAACGAGGAAUGCCUUGUAAACGCGAGUCAUCAGCUCGCAUUGAAUACGUCCCUGCCCUUUGUACACACCGCCCGUCGCUCCUACCGAUGAAUGUUCCGAUGAAAUUUUCGGAGAGCACCUGUGAACUUGGCUCUGCCUUGCGAACGGGAGGCUCAAAGUCACUUAAAUCUGAACA
rnacentral:rRNA from 1 species